UGAUCAUUAAAGAAGCUACGUUGGUACUUGAAGGCAGCACAACUGCAGCGUCAACCAAUAAAUAAAAGCUUUCAGUCGACAGAAGCAGCAGCAGCAGUGUGGGGAAAACUGCUUUACACUCAGUGCUUUUAACCACCGGAAUAUGUGAAAAUACAUUUAACCGCGCUGCUGUUGUUAGUAUGACGAAUAAAACUACACUAAAGUUUUGGAAAAGGUUCAAAUUCCAAACCACGUCAAUUCAUCUGUCGUGGCAGCCACAGGAGUCUCUGUCUGGACACAAAGAAACCGAGGAAGAUUUAAAACAUCAGAUGCCUGAUCCACUCAUUCACAAUGUGAUCCCCAUGAAUCCUGGCAUCGUGAUCUUACAACAUGACCAUGCCACCAGGGAAGAAAAACUCCAUUGAUGGAAAGACCUGGUCAUUCAGUAUAUUCAUUUUGUAUUGGAAAUGAAAGAGCCAAUUUUGACUUCCUUUCUUUCGCAAAGUAUAUAAUUUCCUUAAAGUCACAAUAAAGACACAACAGAAAACAUGUAUGAAAGCUUUACCUAUUUGUAUGUCAUAUCAGUAUUUAAUAUUAACCUUGCCCUGGUACAUUUUACCCCAUGUACUCUUUUCCAUGCCUCCUGCCGGCCCUUACCUUACUAACUGCACCAACUGGGUAAGAAUACGAGUAUAUGUUGGAUGAUUUGCAACACAAUACAUAAAUUUAUAGGCAACAAUAAAACAAAUUUUAUUUGGUAUUAUUGAACAGUAACUACAGCAACAUAUACAGUACAAAGCAAGUUGUUUAAACAACACUGGACACAAAGAAAGCACAAAUCUCUGUUUCUAUAGAAUUAAGGCACAUUUUAAAGCCAAAAGUACCAUUAGUUCUUAUAAAAGCAACAUCAGUCGAUCAUAGUUUUACAAUAUGUUAAAAGUUCAAGUAAAAUGAGGUCUGAGCUUUAAGCUCUAAAUUGAUAAGGAAUUGUAACAUGUUCAGUGUUAAAAUACUAUCACACUUUAGUAUUUUGUGGUCUAAAACACUGGCAAUGUAUAUGCAGAUAUUUUUUCAGCUUUGCGUGGAGCCCAUUUCAUAAGUCAAUAAAUACAGUAAUCUGUAUAAACCAUACGUUUGUAUAUAUAAAUAUAAAAAAACAAAACAAGGAUUGAUACAGUUAUAAAUGAUCACAUUUAACCUCUCAGAAAACAAGAUACUAGAUGUAAAACUCAUGACCGCAAUAAGUUCAGUGCUACUAAAAUAGCGUAAUUUACGUUUGGAUUUUGAACAGCAGUGUUUAACAGUAACAUAUUUACUGUCUAUGUUGGACACUUGGUGUUACAAGCGUCACCUGACUUGAAAAGUCCAUAGACACUGACCAGCGGGAACAUGGAGAUAGCACCGAGCAUGGAGCCCAGCUGCACUACAGCUCCACACCACACAAGGGCGCUGUGGCCCUCAUCCCUCAGAAUCACUCCAAUGAUGACCUUCACGUAGGAAAGGGACAGGACAAAGAGGAUCCAGGCCAGCACCUGUACCAGAGAAGAGGUCAAUAUUGUGCAUGAAACGACAUUCGGUCCUGGUGUACAGAAAUAAAUACGACUGCAAAGUGUCCUAGUCUGACCUCAACAUGUUAACCGACUCAGUGGCUUUCAGUUCUAUGCAGCAUGAAGUAGUUGGAAAAGGAAGUUUUAAAAUCCAAACAAUCACUAAAUCAGUUCAUCGGGUAUUUCAUUCUCUCAGGCACAAACAUGGCAAUGAAGCAGGCCACAGGGUUGGCAACAGCAGCCAUGGUAGCAGCUAGAUGGUAGGCCUUGUUCCCGUAAGGCAGACAGGAGUAGGACUGCACUGAGGGCAGCACUGCGUUGGUCAGAGCAUUG